rnacentral:lncRNA from 1 species
CCAAUGAUCGUGUCACUAAUUGCUGUACUUGUCACUAAUUGCUGUACAGAGAUUUAUGGCAGCACACAUCACGACAUAAGGAGAUCACGCUCCUCAGCUGGCCUAUGGGACUGUACAUCCUCACCGUGAUUGCAACAGUUUAGCAGUAUGUGCAAGCAGUGAAUGAUGAUGUUUGAAGGGUAAUAUUGAAAAGCAUAUCAGUCCAAUAAGGC